GCUCAAACAGAAACGGGAAUAAGAAGUUUGUAUCUGACCUUAUGGAGUCGAAAGCCAUUCUUCUUUGCCUCAUGUUGAUUCUGCAGCUAGGAAACUCCAUUCAUGUUGAGCAGUGCAGGCAGGAAGCUGCUUUUACAAGCCCCAAUUGCACAAAAGAAAGUUGCCAAAGUGCUUGCCAAAAGUCAUGGGGAGAUGACAUCCUUCAUGUGGUAUGUAGGAUGACAGGCAUAACCUUGGAAACUUGUUACUGCAUCGUAUGUGUCUAGAGUUGCACUAAACCAUCAUGUAAGGCAAUGGAUAAUAAUGUGAUCCGGUAAUAAAGUCCUUUCGCAACAUGCUUGCGGUAAACUACAGUGACCACCAAAUUCGGUUGUUUUAUUU